GACGAACGCUGGCGGCGUGCUUAACACAUGCAAGUCGAACGAAGAGCGAUGGAAGCUUGCUUCUAUCAAUCUUAGUGGCGAACGGGUGAGUAACGCGUAAUCAACCUGCCCUUCAGAGGGGGACAACAGUUGGAAACGACUGCUAAUACCGCAUACGAUCUAAUCUCGGCAUCGAGGAUAGAUGAAAGGUGGCCUCUACAUGUAAGCUAUCACUGAAGGAGGGGAUUGCGUCUGAUUAGCUAGUUGGAGGGGUAACGGCCCACCAAGGCGAUGAUCAGUAGCCGGUCUGAGAGGAUGAACGGCCACAUUGGGACUGAGACACGGCCCAGACCCCUACGGGAGGCAGCAGUGGGGAAUCUUCCGCAAUGGACGAAAGUCCGACGGAGCAACGCCGCGUGAGUGAUGACGGCCUUCGGGUUGUAAAGCUCUGUUAAUCGGGACGAAAGGCCUUCUUGCGAAUAGUGAGAAGGAUUGACGGUACCGGAAUAGAAAGCCACGGCUAACUACGUG
rnacentral:rRNA from 1 species